rnacentral:tRNA from 1 species
GGGCGUAGUUCAAUGGCAGAACAUCAGCUUCCCAAGCUGAAUACGAGGGUUCGAUUCCCUUCGCCC